rnacentral:lncRNA from 1 species
GUGGGGUACUGACUUGUUUCAGCUGAUCUGACAAAUUUAUUUUUGAAAAUAUAUCAUAGAACAAUACAUCGAUAGAGCUUUCAUUAUCAACCAAAAUUCUCUUUACAUCAUAAUUCGCUACUGUCAUAGAGAUGGCAAUAGCAUCAUUAUGAGGUGUUUGAAUCUCCUUUACAUCAUUUUCAGAAAAAGAAUAACUUCUAUCUUCUAUCUCUUAGGAGAUGGAUCAUCAAUACUUUAUAAGACACUGGAUAUCAUGUGAAUAACCCCAGCAGUAGAUCGAUUAUGGUCCUCAGAGCUUCCUUCUGCCUAGGGUUAGUAUUCUAAGGUCUUGCUCGAUCUCGCAUAUUUAUCGAGGUAUGUCUGAUGCACCAGGACUUCUAUCU